CUCGUAGGCGGUCUGUCGCGUCGGGAGUGAAAACUCAGGGCUUAACCCUGAGCCUGCUUCCGAUACGGGCAGACUAGAGGUAUGCAGGGGAGAACGGAAUUCCUGGUGUAGCGGUGGAAUGCGCAGAUAUCAGGAGGAACACCGGUGGCGAAGGCGGUUCUCUGGGCAUUACCUGACGCUGAGGAGCGAAAGUGUGGGGAGCGAACA
rnacentral:rRNA from 1 species